rnacentral:rRNA from 1 species
GUGGGGAAUAUUGGGCAAUGGGCGAAAGCCUGACCCAGCAACGCCGCGUGAAGGAAGAAGGCUUUCGGGUUGUAAACUUCUUUUGUCAGGGACGAAAAAAAUGACGGUACCUGACGAAUAAGCCACGGCUAACUACGUGCCAGCAGCCGCGGUAAUACGUAGGUGGCAAGCGUUAUCCGGAUUUACUGGGUGUAAAGGGCGUGUAGGCGGGAAAGUAAGUCAGAUGUGAAAACUAUGGGCUCAACCCAUAGCCUGCAUUUGAAACUGUUUUUCUUGAGUACUGGAGAGGCAGAUGGAAUUCCUAGUGUAGCGGUGAAAUGCGUAGAUAUAUGGAGGAACACCAGUGGCGAAAGCGGCUCUCUGGUCUGUAACUGACGCUGAGGUUCGAAAGCGUGGGUAGCAAACAGGAUUAGAAACCCGGGUAGUCC